rnacentral:rRNA from 1 species
UAGGGAAUCUUCGGCAAUGGGGGGAACCCUGACCGAGCAACGCUGCGUGAGUGAAGAAGGUUUUCGGAUCGUAAAGCUCUGUUGUUAAGGAAGAACGAGUGUGAGAAUGGAAAGUUCAUGCUGUGACGGUACUUAACCAGAAAGGGACGGCUAACUACGUGCCAGCAGCCGCGGUAAUACGUAGGUCCCGAGCGUUGUCCGGAUUUAUUGGGCGUAAAGCGAGCGCAGGCGGUUAGAAAAGUCUGAAGUGAAAGGCAGUGGCUCAACCAUUGUAGGCUUUGGAAACUGUUUAACUUGAGUGCAGAAGGGGAGAGUGGAAUUCCAUGUGUAGCGGUGAAAUGCGUAGAUAUAUGGAGGAACACCGGUGGCGAAAGCGGCUCUCGGGUCUGUAACUGACGCUGAGGCUCGAAAGCGUGGGUAGCAAACAGG